GGAAAUAAGGGCUGAGUUCCAGAAUGAGUAGUCUUGAACUCAUCUCAUCUUCCCCAUUUGCCAAGGUUAAGGUUGCCCUUCUCAUGUUUUUUUUUUUGUUUGUUUUUUUUUUUUUUUUUUUGGUAAUGCAGGUCUUAGGAUUUUCAGUCUCACAAGUACUAAUAAUUAGAUGUUUUAUUUUGAAUGGUUGACUUACAGGAAUCAUUAAAUGUGAAUCUAGCCAGGCGUAGUGGAUCAUGCCUGCGAUUGCAGCACUUUGGGAAGUGGAGGCAGGGGAAUUUCUUGAGCCCAGGAGUUCAAGACCAGCUUGAGUAACAUAGAGAGACCCUGUCUCUACAGAAUAUUAAAGAACAAACAAACAACAACAAUAACAAAAACCAAGCGUGGUGGCAUGAGCUGUGGUCCCAGCUAUUCAGGAGGUGGAAGUGGGAGGGUCAUUUGAAUCCAGGAGGUUGAGGCUGCAGUGAGCCAUGAUCGCAUCACUGCACCCUGGCCUGGGUGACAGAACAAGACCCUGUUUAAAAAAACCCAAAAGAAUCUAAUGAGAUUUGGCACAUAUUUGAUUAUAUAUGUUAUAUCUUUACCAGGAAAUUUAUUUAAUCAGUUUUUAUGAAAUUUUACCCAAUAGAAAGAAGAAUAAAUCUCAUCGAGAUAUUAAGCGAAUGCAGUGUGAGUGUACACCUCUUUCUAAAGAUGAAAGAGCUCAAGGUGAAAUAGCAUGUGGGGAAGAUUGUCUUAAUCGUCUUCUCAUGAUUGAAUGUUCUUCUCGGUGUCCAAAUGGGGAUUAUUGUUCCAAUAGACGGUUUCAGAGAAAACAGCAUGCAGAUGUGGAAGUCAUACUCACAGAAAAGAAAGGCUGGGGCUUGAGAGCUGCCAAAGACCUUCCUUCGUAAGUUCUUUUUUAAUUACCUUUCACUUCCUUUUUUGAGACAAGGUCUCACUCUUUCACCCAGACUGGAGUGCAGUGGCACGAUCUUGGCUCACUGGAACCUCUACCUCCCGGAUUCAAGCAAUUCUCCUGCCUUAGCCUCUCAAGUAGCUGGAACUACAGGCUCAUGCCACCAUGCCCAGCUAAUUUUUUUUGUAUUUUUUUGGUAGAGACGUUGUUUCACCAUGUUGGCCAGGCUGGUUUCGAACUCUGACCGCAAGUUUUCCGCCCACCUUGGCAUCCCAAAGUGCUGGGAUUACAGGUGUGAGCCGUCGCGCCUGGGCUUCACUUCAUUUUUGUGUUGUUGAACUUAGAUGUUUUUGUAGGGAAACAAUUUCUUUAUUACACUGAGGUUUAAUGAUGAUUAUUAUGUAGAAUGACCACUUGGUAGCUAGUUUGUUGUUAAAAAAUCUUUUUUUCUUUUUUGGUAAUUAUGUUUUCUUUAAUUCCAAGCAACUACCAAGUGUUUACUGUGGACCCCCAGAAUCUCUAUGAAGCUAUAUAAAAAGAAGUUGGGACAGAAUCCAUUAGUAUACAUAAAAUUGAGUUGGGAUAAGAGUAGAAGAGAAGGCCAGGUGCAGUGGCUCAUGCUUGUAAUCUCAGCGCUAUGGGAAGCUAAGUGGGAGGACUGCUUGAGCCUGGGAGUUCAAGGUUACAGUGAGCUGUGAUCACGCCACUGCAUUCUAGCCUGGAUGGCAGUGAUCUCUUGUCUCUU
rnacentral:lncRNA from 10 species